rnacentral:snRNA from 1 species
CAGCUAUGUAAUGAGCACAAAGCGAACUAUUCUUUCGCCUUUUACUAAAGAAUACCGUGUGCUCGUUGCACUAAAAUAGCAUACCCCUAUUUUUGGAGAGCUUCUUUCUUUUCGAAAGAAC